rnacentral:rRNA from 1 species
AUGAAGAAAGGGUUUCGGCUUGUAAAGCUUUGUUGUUAAAGAAGAACGUGGGUAAGAGUAACUGUUUACCCAGUGACGGUAUUUAACCAGAAAGCCACGGCUAACUACGUGCCAGCAGCCGCGGUAAUACGUAGGUGGCAAGCGUUAUCCGGAUUUAUUGGGCGUAAAGCGAGCGCAGGCGGUCUUUUAAGUCUAAUGUGAAAGCCUUCGGCUCAACCGAAGAAGUGCAUUGGAAACUGGGAGACUUGAGUGCAGAAGAGGACAGUGGAACUCCAUGUGUAGCGGUGAAAUGCGUAGAUAUAUGGAAGAACACCAGUGGCGAAGGCGGCUGUCUGGUCUGCAACUGACGCUGAGGCUCGAAAGCAUGGGUAGCGAACAGGAUUAGAUACCCUGGUAGUCCAUGCCGUAAACGAUGAUUACUAAGUGUUGGAGGGUUUCCGCCCUUCAGUGCUGCAGCUAACGCAUUAAGUAAUCCGCCUGGGGAGUACGACCGCAAGGUUGAAACUCAAAAGAAUUGACGGGGGCCCGCACAAGCGGUGGAGCAUGUGGUUUAAUUCGAAGCUACGCGAAGAACCUUACCAGGUCUUGACAUCUUCUGACAGUCUAAGAGAUUAGAGGUUCCCUUCGGGGACAGAAUGACAGGUGGUGCAUGGUUGUCGUCAGCUCGUGUCGUGAGAUGUUGGGUUAAGUCCCGCAACGAGCGCAACCCUUAUUACUAGUUGCCAGCAUUAAGUUGGGCACUCUAGUGAGACUGCCGGUGACAAACCGGAGGAAGGUGGGGACGACGUCAAAUCAUCAUGCCCCUUAUGACCUGGGCUACACACGUGCUACAAUGGAUGGUACAACGAGUCGCGAGACCGCGAGGUUAAGCUAAUCUCUUAAAACCAUUCUCAGUUCGGACUGUAGGCUGCAACUCGCCUACACGAAGUCGGAAUCGCUAGUAAUCGCGGAUCAGCAUGCCGCGGUGAAUACGUUCCCGGGCCUUGUACACACCGCCCGUCACACCAUGAGAGUUUGUAACACCCAAAGCCGGUGGGGUAACCU